rnacentral:lncRNA from 1 species
UUUUUUUUUAUUUGUUUUGCUGGGCGACACCCCAUAGUACGAGGUCCGCCCACAAGUUAGUAUCUCGAGAAACUAGUGUCAUGAUGCAAAGUGGAGGAUUAGCGUUUAGAGUCGUUUAUACCCUAAGAGAGAGUCUCUUAAUAUCAAUUCGUAUAUGACGAUAGCAACUACGUGGAACUUGAAGAAGGCUUUCAGUCAAUAUUAAUAGCAAGUAGCUAGUUCGAUAGUCGAUAGCAAGUACGUNNNNNNNNNNNNNNNNNNNNUCGAAACAGAACCACAAAUAAACUCCCAAGGGCCACGGAAAUCAGAAAAAAGAAACAAGAGAGAAACAAGAAACCCAAAGAAAAUAGGAAAUUAAAGCUCAAAAACAAUGAAAGAAACCACAACAAAAUAGAACAUUAAAACUCAAAACAUAAAAGCAAGAAGAAACAGGAGAGAGACAACAAACUCCAGAAAAAUAGAAAACUAAAACCUAGAAAAUAAAAGCAAGAAGAAAUAGGAGAAAGACCACAAAGCCCAAGAAAAUAUAAGGAAAAACAAUCAAACAUCAGAAAACGAAAGCAAAAAAGAAACACAAGAAAAAAAAUAGCACAGAAACUGGAACCUUAAGAAAAAUGUAAUGAAACACAAUUUCUUAUAGAGAAAUACAAUUAAAAAUUAAUAAAAAGAAAGCAAUCAAAUAACAUCAAAAGUAAGACGAAAGCUAAAGACGGAUGGCCUACAGCUCCCAGGAAAUUAAAGAGAGAAAGGGGAGGCUAUAGAUGGCUGCGAUUAAGCGUCAGCAUCGAUUAGAUUUUCCAGUUACCCCCUAAUUACAGGGAAAUCUACUUUAAUAUAUCUCGGAUAUUUCAGGAACAAAAAUGUGCCCAGUCUAUAGGAUAUAUCUACAUCUAUAACUUAGUUAUGGGUGCAAAUUGAAUUUUUUUUCAUAGGAUUGAUUAUUAGGAUGAAGAUAAUGUGUUCGCAAAUUUUGGAAUCAUACAAAUGUCAAAAACAUGGUUUUGUAGAGGUGUGUUGUAUUAUACUACUAUACAAUCGUUGCAAUGGAUCAUUUCUCUAUAAUUAUAGGGCAAUGAUUUCAUGCAACCAUUAUAUAGUAAUAUGAUACAACAACUUGAAAAAACCAUCUUAUGGCUAUUUG